CAGAUUACUUUCUCUCUGUCCCGAUCUCUCACCUUUUCUCUCAGUCUCUCCCUUUGACUCCCAAACCCUCACCGCCAAUCCACCCCUCUCUACCACCAAUCCUCAUCACCAUGGCCGAAGCCGUCACUCUCUCUCACACCAAAUCCAUCCUCCCAGCUUCAACCAGCUCUUUCUUGCUUGGAAAAGCCUCCGGAUUCUUCGAUUCUUUCAUGAACUCCAAAAUCUCACCCUCCAAAGCCAAAUCCCCCACUUCACACACCUCCUCACGAACCCAGCCAGCUUGUGAAACCCCAAAAAACCACCAACACAGCUCUUCUUCGCCGCCACUUAACUCGAAGACACGAGCUGUGUCUGUACCUGUAUCGUUUUCCUUCUCUUCCUUCUUCUUCUUGAAUCGGUAACAAAGACAACGGAAGGCAGGGAAAGAGACUGGGGCCGAGAGUUUGGCGAGACUAGGAGGCGAGAGCAUGGUUCAGGCAUUUCGUUGAACACCUUGAGGGAAGCAAGUAAAAGGUUAAGGCAGAGAAAGUUGAGGGUGCAUCGGGUAGACUGAUCUAUUGGCUAUUCUGCUUGAAAAGCUUUAUGGUGGAAAGGUUUAUAUGGGGCUUCGAAUUCCAGAUGCUGACAUGGGUUCACGACAGAAUAUCGACAUGGUUCUUGUUAACAAAGGGGAGGCAGUGGUGAUAUCAGUUAAGAAUAUAUUAGGAUUUGUAUCGAUGAAUUCGGAUGGCAGCUGGGUUUGUGAAGGCGGCAGUAAGCACAAACGCAAAACGAUUUCCUGAUCCUUAUGCUGUUGCUCUGGGUGACACAGUUUCCCCAACUGACAUUGAAGAAGGCAUGCGUGUGGGGUGAGUUUCUUAUUUGUUACCUUCUCAGAUUUUACUAAAAUAUUUUGAAGGGUGAGCUACUAGAAAGUACUACUGUUGGAGAUAUGGCUCACAAACCUGCAUACUUUGUGCCUUGUAAGCUCUAAUUUUUAUGUCAACUUGGGGUGAGAAUCAUAUGCUCAGUAUAGUGAAAAAAAACUGAAUAAAGGUGGAUAGCAACCUAGGUGUUGAGUCAUAGGAAGUCAAUUUGAGGAUUUUGAAAGGACAGUACCAUACUUAAAACUUUUCUAUUUCAACAUGCUAUUGAUGAAUUGGAUGUCAAUUGUAGGAAGACAUUAAAUAUUGAAAGGACAGUACCAUUCUUUUAUAUAAUAAUUGAACAAACUCUUUUCAGCUUGUAGUACUCAAUGGAUUUUUUUUCCCUUGAAAGAAAAGGGGGUGGAGGAAACUUUAAGAUCAAAAGUGAUUUUUGAAAGUGCUGGAAUUAUAUCUGAUUGAUGAUGAAUUGACACUGUUCCCUUCUCUAAUAGCUCUUACGUCUUGAUAACUUGAAAUACAAUAGGAGAUGAUAAAGUGAAAUUCACACCUUUAUUUUUAAAGCCUUUUUAGAUGAUAAAGUCAGUGCCUCCCUUUUUGAAACUGAAUACUUUUGCUUUUCACAUAUAGUAUCUUGGUAAAUCCUUAGUCCUACCUUGUCUGACCAUCAACAAUCUUGGUAAAAUUGUAUCUUCAAUAAUUCA